GUUAUUAACUAUAUUUUCACAUUGUGAAUUAAGUUGUGAUUUAGUGUAAAAUGCGGUGGUUUAUUUUUUUAACAAUUCUUAAAAUUAUUUAUUAUUUGUUUGUGGGAAUUUGUGUAAUUAUUAAUGCCUCAGCUCUUAUAAAUUAUAUACCUUUGCCAGCAAUAUUUUUCGUCAGUGUUGUAUUUCAACUAGCUCUGUUAACAGCAUUAUUCAAGGCUAUAAAAUGUAUGAUGGACAUUUGGAUAAUAUUUACGUUUAUUGAAGUCAUAGGAGUCCUAGCAACUCUAGUGUAUGUUGAAUCGACGCCACAUUACUGGUUGUAUUUCCCACUGUAUUUAAUAUCACAAAUAUAUAGCAUAUGUAGGGUAUUCUCUUUUCGAGGAGAUCACUUAAACUCUAAUUCAGAAUAUGAAAUACUUUCGCCAUCAUAAUACUCAGUGUCUCUCUAUGCAAAAUAAUAUGAACAUAAUUAUCAAUAAAUUAUUUUACUUAAGCACUUUUAAACUUGUAAAAUUGUACUUGUUUUUUAAAUAAAAUUGUUGAAACUA